UUAUAUCAUAUGAGGUACUAUACUUCUCUGAAAAAGAGGUUGAUAACACACUAUAAUUUGCUGAUGUAGAUUAAUGGUGAAUCACUAUAUCCUAAAUGGCUAGAUAAAGAUAGGUAGCACAAUAGAGAAAAGAGCAACCUAAUUAAUUUAGGGGUCCUACUAACAACCCCUCUCAACCUUACCUGAAAACAAGUAGAGAUCCUUCGCAACUAAACCAUACCUUGCAUACUCAAGUUACUCCUUCCAUAAUCUUCAGAGCUGAAUUAUACAUUGGUGCUUUCAUUGUCCUAUGAUUUGAUAACAUCUAUUAAGUUGGCAAUUAAAAGAACUAUAAUCUCUUAGCAAACCUUUUUUUAUUCUUUGCACUUGAAUUUCAUCAGAUGUUUUUUUUAAUAAAUGGGAACCUGCACAUCAGUUUUCAGCUUUCGUAACGAUAUGACUUCUAGAGUACUUUAAAUGCUAGAUUUUAAACUAUGAGCUAUCACGGAACUGCCUAACCCAACUAAACGAAUCUACCCAUCUAUUCUACCUUUUUGCAUAAAUAUUCUACUUACAUUACAUACGAAUUAGUUGCUUAGAAAGAUAUAAUAUUUUUUUAUCACCGUGUUCUUCGUACUGCAAUCAUUUAGUACCAUUUUUUGGCACUUACGUUCAAGUCUAAACACAAACAUAGAAAAUCUAUAUCAUGUUGAUGGAGUUGCUUUUUUUAUUUCUUGAUAGUACAGAAAAAGGUCCAUAUACAUCGAACAAAGCAUCUACUUUUAAAUUGCUAGAAGAAUCACCUUCUACUACUACAGAGAAAUUAUCAACAAAAGUAGCCUCAGAUGUAAGUUGUUUUCUACAAUUUUUUCCAGUAUAUAUAGCUCACUCAACAUAUUUUUGUGAAUAUUUACAUUUCUAAUACCUUGCAAAUUGCAAAAAAAACUCACAUAUCCAAUACAGGGGAAGAAAUUACAGUUUGCAUUUUCUUUCUACUCCAUUGCCUAAUGAUUGGUCAGAUUAAUAAAACUAUACAUUUCAUUUCAUAGGGUUAAACAUGGAUCCCUGCACAUCAACAAUUGUACCAGCUAGAAGACCAGUAGACCACCGUGAAUAAUAGAUGCAAACGCAUGAGAACAACACAAUCUCUCAUCUUUUGUUAUC
rnacentral:lncRNA from 1 species